ensembl:lncRNA
CCCCACAGAAACAGGUGAGUUUUAUUUCUCCUCCUCUCUCAGGCCUGUCUCUCUUUCUCUCUCUCGCUCUCUCUCUCAGGCCUCUCUCUCUUUCUCAGGCAUAUCUCUCUCUCUCUCUCACUCUCUCUCAGGCCUAUCUCUCACUCUCUCUCAGGCCUAUCUCUCUCUCUCUCUCUCUUUCUCUCUCUCUCAGGCAUAUCUCUCUUUCUCACUCUCUCUCAGGCCUAUCUCUCUUUCUCUCUCUCUCUCUCUCUCACUCUCUCAGGCCUAUCUCUCUCUCUCUCUCUCUCUCUCUCUCUCUCUCACA